rnacentral:tRNA from 1 species
UGGGGCAUAGCGUAGCUUGAUAACGUGCCAUCUUGGAGUGAUGGAGGUCGCGGGUUCGAAUCCUGCUGCUC